GACGUAGGGCGCGAGCGUUGUCCGGAUUGAUUGGGCGUAAAGAGCUCGUAGGCGGUCUGUUGCGUCCGGCUGUGAAACCCGGGGCUCAACCCCGGGCCUGCAGCCGAUACGGGCAGACUAGAGUUCGGCAGGGGAGACUGGAAUUCCUGGUGUAGCGGUGAAAUGCGCAGAUAUCAGGAAGAACACCCGUGGCGAAGGCGGCUCUCUGGGACGGUACUGACGCUGAGACGCGAAAGCGUGGGAGCGAACAGG
rnacentral:rRNA from 1 species